rnacentral:lncRNA from 1 species
UAGAAAGUAUAUUGUCUUUUUACCUCUACGCUCCUUUCCUCUAAGUGUUUAAGCCUAGAGAUGGCGACAGGUGAAGAACUGAAGACCCAAGAUGCGAAGAUCGAUGUCGGUGCUGACUGAUGAUGCGAAAAUCGAUGUCGGUGCUGACUAAUGAGCGAAGAUGGAAGAUCGAUGUCACCGCAUCGACAAUGGUAGGUGGGGGA